ACGGAAGGCAGCAGUGGGGAAUAUUGCACAAUGGGCGCAAGCCUGAUGCAGCGAUGCCGCGUGAGGGAAGAAGGUUUUCGGAUUGUAAACCUCUGUCAACAGGGACGAAAAUGACGGUACCUGUGUAGGAAGCUCCGGCUAACUACGUGCCAGCAGCCGCGGUAAUACGUAGGGAGCAAGCGUUAUCCGGAAUUACUGGGUGUAAGGGAGUGUAGGCGGGACUGUAAGUCAGAUGUGAAAUAUGCCGGCUCAACUGGCAGACUGCAUUUGAAACUGCGGUUCUUGAGUGAAGUAGAGGUAAGCGGAAUUCCUAGUGUAGCGGUGAAAUGCGUAGAUAUUAGGAGGAACAUCAGUGGCGAAGGCGGCUUACUGGGCUUUAACUGACGCUGAGGCUCGAAAGCGUGGGGAGCAAACAGGAUUAGAUACCCUGGUA
rnacentral:rRNA from 1 species